UCCCGUGUGGCUCAGUUGGUAGAGCAUGGUGUUUUCAAUGCCAGGGGUUGUGGGUUCGAUUCCCACGGGGGAC
rnacentral:tRNA from 1 species